GCUGGGCGUGGUGGUGCACGCCUGUAAUCCUAGCAGCUCAGGAGGCUGAGGCAGGAGGAUAGAGAGUUCAAAGGUAGCCUCAGCAAUUUAGCAAGGCCCUAAUCAACUUAGUGAGACCCUGUCUCUA
rnacentral:sRNA from 1 species